rnacentral:rRNA from 2 species
UACGUAGGUGGCGAACGUUAUCCGGAAUUACUGGGCGUAAAGGGUCCGCAGGCGGGUCACCAAGUCCGGCGUGAAAGCUCCCGGCUCAACUGGGAGAGGGCGUUGGAAACUGGUGGUCUUGAAUCUCAGAGAGGUCGGUGGAAUUCCCGGUGUAGUGGUGGAAUGCGUAGAGAUCGGGAGGAACCUCGAAAGCGAAGGCAACCGGCUGGCUGAAGAUUGACGCUGAGGGACGAAAGCGUGGGGAGCGAACAGG